UACGUAGGGUGCGAGCGUUGUCCGGAAUUAUUGGGCGUAAAGGGCUCGUAGGCGGUCUGUCACGUCGGGAGUGAAAACUCAGGGCUUAACCCUGAGCCUGCUUCCGAUACGGGCAGACUAGAGGUAUGCAGGGGAGAACGGAAUUCCUGGUGUAGCGGUGAAAUGCGCAGAUAUCAGGAAGAACACCCGUGGCGAAGGCGGUUCUCUGGGACGGUACUGACGCUGAGACGCGAAAGCGUGGGGAGCGAACAGG
rnacentral:rRNA from 1 species